ensembl:ncRNA B0250.16 ncRNA
CGAAAUUUGGGUACUUGCACCGAAAAUGCGUCAGCAAAGUGCUUGCUGGCGCGUUUUUCGUGCAGGUUGGUCGAUUUUUUUCUUUUUAAGCUUAAAAUGUGUUUAAAUC